rnacentral:tRNA from 1 species
CGGGAUGUAGCUCAGUUGGUAGAGCGCACGGUUCGGGACCGUGAGGCCGGAGGUUCGAGUCCUCUCAUCCCGACCA